rnacentral:rRNA from 1 species
ACUACGGUGUGCAGCAGUGAGGAAUAUUGGUCAAUGGCCGGGAGGCUGAACCAGCCAAGUCGCGUGAGGGGAGACGGCCCUACGGGUUGUAAACCUCUUUUGUCAGGGAGCAAGGUGCAGGUCGGGACCUGCGGUGAGAGUACCUGAAGAAAAAGCGUAGGCUAACACCGUGCCAGCAGCCGCGGUAAUACGGAGGAUGCGAGCGUUAUCCGUGUUUAUUGGGUGUAAAGGGUGCGCAGGCGGCGGAACAAGUCAGCGGUAAAAGCGCGGGGCUAAACCCAGCCCCGCCGUUGAAACUGUGUCCCUUGAGUGCGCGAAGGGUAGGCGGAAUGCGUGGUGUAGCGGUGAAAUGCAUAGAUAUCACGCAGAACUCCGAUCGCGAAGGCAGCCUACCGGCGCGCAACUGACGCUCAUGCACGAAAGCGUGGGUAUCGAACAGGAUUAGAUACCCUGGUAGUC